GGACUACUGGGGUAUCUAAUCCUGUUUGCUCCCCACGCUUUCGCGCCUCAGCGUCAGUAUCGGGCCAGUGAGUCGCCUUCGCCACUGGUGUUCCGCCGAAUAUCUACGAAUUUCACCUCUACACUCGGCAUUCCACUCACCUCUCCCGAACUCAAGACAGCCAGUAUCAAAGGCAAUUCCAAGGUUGAGCCCUGGGCUUUCACCUCUGACUAAACUGUCCGCCUACGCGCCCUUUACGCCCAGUAAUUCCGAGCAACGCUAGCCCCCUUCGUAUUACCGCGGCUGCUGGCAC
rnacentral:rRNA from 2 species